UAACCUGCCCAAGAGAUCGGGAUAACACCUGGAAACAGAUGCUAAUACCGGAUAACGACANAUGAUGCCUAUCAACUGUUUAAAAGAUGGUUCUGCUAUCACUCUUGGAUGGACCUGCGGUGCAUUAGCUAGUUGGUAGGGUAACGGCCUACCAAGGCGAUGAUGCAUAGCCGAGUUGAGAGACUGAUCGGCCACAUUGGGACUGAGACACGGCCCAAACUCCUACGGGAGGCAGCAGU
rnacentral:rRNA from 1 species